UACAGAGGUCUCAAGCGUUGUUCGGAUUCAUUGGGCGUAAAGGGUGCGUAGGCGGCGCGGUAAGUCAGGGGUGAAAUCCUGGAGCUCAACUCCAGAACUGCCUUUGAUACUGGCGAUCUUGAGUCCGGGAGAGGUGAGUGGAACUGCGAGUGUAGAGGUGAAAUUCGUAGAUAUUCGCAAGAACACCAGUGGCGAAGGCGGCUCACUGGCCCGGUACUGACGCUGAGGUGCGAAAGCGUGGGGAGCAAACAGG
rnacentral:rRNA from 1 species